CACAACACUGCUGACAUCCAUGACUAUCAUAGGACAUGAUGGCAGAAUCUAAUGAAGAAAAUAAUUUGCCACAGCGUCAGUGGACUUGGACUACUUCCGCAUUCAGUGAUCUUUGUGCACUGCCACUUCCGGUGAAUCACUCAUCACUCUGGCGAACCCAUGAUGGACGACCUGAAGUUUACUUAUACUGCAUCCCUGAUGGUUUUCCAAGCCGAGCUUCAAGAAACCUCAGGCAGCUGUACAGCAGGCAAGGUUCUGUGCAACCAUCUAGUGGCCUUGUUCUUCCAGAGUGCCCAUUACAACAUGUUGCAGGUGAGAGCUGUACCACCACUGUGGCCUGUACAAGCUCUCUGCAAACAUGGCAUCGACCAAGGACAAAGGUAACAUUGUAGCCGCGCGGAGCUGCAACGCAUUGAAUAGACUUCCAGUCUAUUUUUCAACCGCGGCGUGAGCUGCCCCGCGUGCCACCUGUUAAUAUCAUUCCCAGGGGAUCCAUGCAGAGCCGGUUCAGGACUUGGUUGUUAGGAGACCAAAGCCAUCCGCCAGGAGUGUAUGCAAAUCAAACACUCUAUGAAGCAUACACAGGAUCCCUCCCUGACCUGCAUGUCUUGUCUCUUGGGAAAGGACUGAAAAACCUCAGGCGGCAACCACUAAUAUCCUCAGUGCUGCAUGGCUUGUCUCAACUCUCCAUGGUCGACUCCAGGUUCGGACCUGUGCUGUGAGGUUCACCCCUGUCCUACCAGUGUCCUCCUGUGGGCAAAUGCGGAAAUUAUGUCCAACACCCAGAUGCACCAACAUUCCCUAAACUGCCUUUAGAGGGGUCAACAUUUCCCACUACUUUUCCAAACUUUGACCCAAACUCCCAACAGUUUCUCCAUUUGGACAGCUUAAAUGUGACACACGAGGUGGCAGCUGAGAGAGAGGAGCAGACACGUGAGCAGUCUGAGUGCCCAUUAUGGCAAGCUUUACACAAGCCUAGAGUGACAGCUAGUAGGUUCUAUGAGGUUAGCCAUGCGAAAGGGCCGUCUUCAGGUCAGACCCUGGCACGGCGAAUACUUAAGGGAGUACGCCAAACUCCCGCCAUGAAAAGGGGCCCUGAACGCAAGCCACAGGUGCUGGAACAAUAUUCAAAACAUUUCAAUGUAAAUGUCUCACGCUGUGGAUUUGUUAUCCAUCCCGAUGCAAGGGUAUAUGACCCUAGUGCCAUUCUGUGUUUUGAGCUUGCUGAAGUUAAAUGCAAAGACAUCUCUAGCAUUUCUGAGGCAGGACAUGCACAAAUGGUGAAUGGUCAGGCAAAACUGAAGCAUAAUCAUAAAUACCACUGGCAGGUUCAAGGUCAAUUGGCAGUAACUGGAUUGAGUUGGUGCGAUUAUAUAACAGACAGAGGGAGACUUCCCAGUCGAAAGAGUCUGGGGGGAUGAUGAAAUGAUAAAAGAGAUG